GUCUAUGUAGUAUAUUAAAUACUUUGGUCUUGUAAACCAAUAAAGAGGAAUCAACUCUCCUCCAAAGACU
rnacentral:tRNA from 1 species